rnacentral:rRNA from 1 species
AAAUUGAAGAGUUUGAUCAUGGCUCAGAUUGAACGCUGGCGGCAGGCCUAACACAUGCAAGUCGAACGGUAACAGAAAGCAGCUUGCUGCUUUGCUGACGAGUGGCGGACGGGUGAGUAAUGUCUGGGAAACUGCCUGAUGGAGGGGGAUAACUACUGGAAACGGUAGCUAAUACCGCAUAACGUCGCAAGACCAAAGAGGGGGACCUUCGGGCCUCUUGCCAUCGGAUGUGCCCAGAUGGGAUUAGCUAGUAGGUGGGGUAAAGGCUCACCUAGGCGACGAUCCCUAGCUGGUCUGAGAGGAUGACCAGCCACACUGGAACUGAGACACGGUCCAGACUCCUACGGGAGGCAGCAGUGGGGAAUAUUGCACAAUGGGCGCAAGCCUGAUGCAGCCAUGCCGCGUGUAUGAAGAAGGCCUUCGGGUUGUAAAGUACUUUCAGCGGGGAGGAAGGGAGUAAAGUUAAUACCUUUGCUCAUUGACGUUACCCGCAGAAGAAGCACCGGCUAACUCCGUGCCAGCAGCCGCGGUAAUACGGAGGGUGCAAGCGUUAAUCGGAAUUACUGGGCGUAAAGCGCACGCAGGCGGUUUGUUAAGUCAGAUGUGAAAUCCCCGGGCUCAACCUGGGAACUGCAUCUGAUACUGGCAAGCUUGAGUCUCGUAGAGGGGGGUAGAAUUCCAGGUGUAGCGGUGAAAUGC